UAGGGAAUAUUGGUCAAUGGACGAAAGUCUGAACCAGCCACGCCGCGUGAAGGAUGAAGGCCCUAUGGGUUGUAAACUUCUUUUGUCAGGGAAAAAACCCCCAUACGUGUAUGGGGCUGAUUGUACCUGGAGAAUAAGGAUCGGCUAACUCCGUGCCAGCAGCCGCGGUAAUACGGAGGAUCCAAGCGUUGUCCGGAUUUAUUGGGUUUAAAGGGUGCGUAGGCGGAUUAUUAAGUCAGUGGUGAAAGCC
rnacentral:rRNA from 1 species